CAACAAUGACUAGCCCUAAAGACAAAGGACCAACAAUGACUAGCCCUAAAGACAAAGGACUAGCAAUACCCAGCCUUAAAGACAAAGGACCAACAAUGACUAGCCCUAAAGACAAAGGACCAACAAUGACUAGCCCUAAAGACAAAGGACCAACGGUGACUAGCCCUAAAGACAAAGGACUAGCCAUACCCAGCCUUAAAGACAAAGGACCAACAAUGACUAGCCCUAAAGACAAAGGACUAGCAAUAUCCAGCCCUAAAGACAAAGGACCAACAAUGACUAGCCCUAAAGACAAAGGACAUAACAAUGACUAGCCCUAAAGACAAAGGUCUAGCAAUAUCCAGCCCUAAAGACAAAGGACCAGCAUUACCCAGCCUUAAGGACAAAGGACCAACAAUGACUAGCCCUAAAGACAAAGGACCAACGAUGACUAGCCCUAAAAACAAAGGAUUAGCAAUAUCCAGCCCUAAAGACAAAGGACCAACGGUGACUAGCCCUAAAGACAAAGGACUAGCCAUACCCAGCCUUAAAGACAAAGGACCAACACUGACUAGCCCUAAAGACAAAGGACUAGCAAUAUCCAGCCCUAAAGACAAAUGACCAACAAUGACUAGCCCUAAAGACAAAGGACAUAACAAUGACUAGCCCUAAAGACAAAGGUCUAGCAAUAUCCAGCCCUAAAGACAAAGGACCAGCAUUACCCAGCCUUAAGGACAAAGGACCAACAAUGACUAGCCCUAAAGACAAAGGACCAACGAUGACUAGCCCUAAAGACAAAGGACUAUCUAGCCCUAAAGACAAAGGACUAGCAAUAACCAGCCCUAAAGACAAAGGACCAACGAUGACUAGCCCUAAAGACAAAGGACCAACUAUGAUCAACCAUGGGUUAUACUUGGGCUACACAGGCAUAUCCUAAUAAACAUAGUCUGAAAGCACUUGUUGUAAACAAACUGAAAGAAAUUAAUCUCCAGACUUGGAUAUCAAACACGGAAAAAUCUUGAAGGGGGGCUAUUUAUAAUAUAUUUUUUUAAAUUCUGAACUGAUAUAUGAAAUAUCUGAACUUAUUACAUUAUGAUGAUCGGAGAGCUUUACUUAUCAGCUGAACCAUUACCUAUCAGUUGAAACAGGUCGAUGGAUUAAAACACCCCCAUAAACGAAAGAUUAUGUACUCUUUGUAAUGCAAACGAUAUUGGAGAUGAAUUUCAUUGUUUGUUUAUUUGCCCUACCUUGGCCCGAGAAAGGAUAAACUAUAUCAGUAGCUAUUCUGUAGAAACCCUAAUAUGCACAAAAUGAACCAGCUUUUUUCACUCUCACAAACUAGGAACAAUUAGGAAAUUAGCAAUAUUUUGCAAACUAAUAAUGUCUCAUUUUAAGCAACGCCCUCUAAGUUGUGUUGUGAAAUGACAUCUCAUAAUUGAUGCUUGGUUCAUUACAACUGUUCAAUCAUCGAUAGUGAUUGGUUAGCGUCAUUUAUCAAUUUUUCCUGUUAUGGUUGUUAAUAUGCACAGACAAAUAUGGAAAAAAAACCAUGUAGUUCUUUAGAGUUUUUUUUCGCAAAUUGCACAUGUUUAAACGAUGACUAGAAAGUUAAGAACACAAACUUCCUGGAGUCUUUAAGAUAAAUUCAAUCAUGACUUUGAACGAGCUCGUGGUGCUUAUGAAAUAUAUAUUUAAUAACACAGACAAAAUCAACCUUGUGAAAAAUAUUAUCAAUGCAAACAAGCGUUCCAAACUUGUUUGUGUUCGAUUAUGAGAAAACGUGAUCAAUUGCUUGGUCGUUUAGUCACUGCGACCAAUCUUCGAUUAUUUCAAUUAUUCAGACAACCACUACCUCUAAUGCCGCAGAACGCGGUCCGAGUGUAAACAAAGCUCAGUUCGGCAUAUACGCCUGUGCAGGCAAUACUCCCAAGGUUAGGUUAGGUUAGAUCUGAGCCAGAUAGCCAGUGUAGACUGAAUAAACAGUUUUGGACCCUCA
rnacentral:lncRNA from 1 species